rnacentral:rRNA from 1 species
CUGGAGAACGUGAGGGGGGCUGCUCCUAGUACGAGAGGACCGGAGUGGACGCAUCACUGGUGUUCGGGUUGUCAUGCCAAUGGCACUGCCCGGUAGCUAAAUGCGGAAGAGAUAAGUGCUGAAAGCAUCUAAGCACGAAACUUGCCCCGAGAUGAGUUCUCCCUGAGACUUAGAGUCUCCUGAAGGAACGUUGAAGACGACGACGUUGAUAGGCCGGGUGUGUAAGCGCAGCGAUGCGUUGAGCUAACCGGUACUAAUGAACCGUGAGGCUUAACCUUAC